UUACCUGGCCUUGACAUACUAAGAACUUUCCAGAGAUGGAUUGGUGCCUUCGGGAACUUAGAUACAGGUGCUGCAUGGCUGUCGUCAGCUCGUGUCGUGGGAUGUUGGGUUAAGUCCGCAACGAGCGCAACCCUUUUCCUUAUUUGCCAGCGGGUCAUGCCGGGAACUUUAAGGAUACUGCCAGUGACAAACUGGAGGAAGGCGGGGACGACGUCAAGUCAUCAUGGCCCUUACGGCCAGGGCUACACACGUGCUACAAUGGUCGGUACAAAGGGUUGCUACCUCGCGAGAGGAUGCUAAUCUCAAAAAGCCGAUCGUAGUCCGGAUCGCAGUCUGCAACUCGACUGCGUGAAGUCGGAAUCGCUAGUAAUCGCGGAUCAGAAUGCCGCGGUGAAUACGUUCCCGGGCCUUGUACACACCGCCCGUCACACCAUGGGAGUUUGUUGCACCAGAAGUAGGUAGUCUAACCGCAAGGAGGACGCUUACCACGGUGUGGCCGAUGACUGGGGUGAAGUCGUAACAAGGUAAGCGUACUACA
rnacentral:rRNA from 1 species